AAAAAAGAGGUGGGUUUGCCUGGAGUCUGGUGCGGGCCGCCGCCUCCAGGACGGCACCCGCCCCUCUCCCCUCUGCGAAUAGCAGGCGCUGGGGCGGCGGUGAGACUGAGGAGCCGGCCCGUAGCCAUGGCCUUGGCUUGACUGAGCCUCCCGGGCGGCCGGGCGGGUGCAGACAGUAGGGCCGGACAACGCCCGCGGGAGCCGCGGCCCUGAGACCCGCCCGGCGGCAGUGAAGGGAGCGGAGCCCGCAGGCCUGGGCCAGCUUAACAGCGAAGAGCAGGAAGCGGGGUCCCUGGGCCCCUUUGUGUGAAGGGCGGGGGAGAGGUGGGGGCAGCCCCCGGCUGCGGGCUCCUCCGUCACUCGCCUGCCCGCCAGGGCCCCAGAUCUGCGGCUUCCAGCCCUCGCCUCGAGGGGCGCGUUUCUUCUCCCCACCCUCGCCGGGCUUCUCCGGGAGCGCCCUCCUCCCCACGCCCCCUGCCUGGGCUUUAGUUCCUAUAGGAGGGGCAUUUACCAUCUCAUCCCCACCCACCCCGACACUUCGCUCUCUCCCCUCCCCCCGCCUUUAACUUCCUCUUCUUUCCCCGUCGGGCCCUCCGCUUCUCUGCACUCUCCUCCCCAGUUCGCAGAUUUCCGCCCACCUUCCGCCUCCCCAGCCGCACCGCAGCUAGCGGGGCGUUAUUUUUCCUCCCUCGUGCAGGAGUGGGUGAAGGGGAGACUCAUGAGGGAAUACAAGGUGGUGGUGUUAGGGAGCGGAGGGGUUGGCAAAUCUGCCCUGACUGUGCAGUUUGUCACUGGGACUUUCAUUGAGAAAUAUGACCCCACCAUUGAAGAUUUCUACCGCAAAGAGAUCGAAGUGGACUCUUCCCCGUCCGUGCUGGAAAUUCUGGACACCGCAGGAACUGAGCAGUUUGCCUCCAUGAGAGAUCUCUACAUCAAAAACGGUCAAGGUUUCAUCCUGGUUUAUAGUCUCGUUAAUCAACAGUCUUUUCAGGAUAUCAAGCCAAUGAGAGAUCAGAUUGUCAGAGUGAAGAGAUAUGAAAAAGUCCCACUAAUCCUAGUAGGAAAUAAAGUGGAUCUGGAACCAGAAAGAGAGGUUAUGUCUUCAGAAGGCAGAGCUCUGGCUCAAGAAUGGGGCUGUCCUUUCAUGGAGACAUCGGCAAAAAGUAAAUCAAUGGUGGAUGACCUUUUUGCUGAGAUCGUCAGGCAAAUGAACUAUUCAUCCCUGCCCGAGAAGCAAGAUCAGUGUUGUACAACUUGUGUUGUCCAGUAAAAAAGAUAACCUCAAUCAUGGCCAUACCGAGCAGGAUUAUUUCCUCACCUUUCAACACCCCACUGGCAGUAAUCUUAGUGUAAGUUUGGAUUCAGAGCCAGAUUCUUUAUGUACUGCUUUCAAGGCUGGUUUCCUUACUGACCCGAGGAGCCUUGCCAUCAAGUGCACUGAAGGACUUCUUUUACUGUGCAGCAGCAUUGUAAUAGAAACCCAGAUAAAACUCAGAGGAAAUUUGCACAGAUGCUGCUUUGGAGAACUUUACAACCUGGGUUGCAGAACUGAGCCUUGGUAAACCUGUCUCUAUUACAGCAUGUUGCCAUACAUCUAAUUAAGUGCAUAAGGUCUUUGGCCUUCAAGAUCCAUUGACCUUAAAUAGAAAUGCUUAGCACGUUUACCAUAUGUUUAAAAUCUAUUCUUUACCAAUCAGUCCUUUUGUAGCUUUCUAAGUUCUUAUUGAUGGCUAUUAUGCAAGAAUUAAUUUUUAAUAUUUUAAUUGAUUUCUUUAAUCAGUUUCUCAACUUGUAUUUAUUAAAUACUCAAACUCAGUAUUACCUACUCAAUGCCUUUUAAAAGAAAGUUAUAAUGGAGAAAAAAAUUGAGCCUUAAACAAAUGGUUACUUCUGUAUAUUACCUCGUACCAGUGCUUCAUCCUAUUUGUAAAAUCUUUCUCCUUUAAAUGGUUGGUUAAUACUUUGAGACUUUGUUUACGUGUGGCAGUGUUGUAAAAAGAAACUAAAUAUCACAUUUUCACCUGAAUGGAUGGAAUAUCCCUUUUCUUCAAAUGCAGUUCGUAAUGUAUUUUUGUAGUUAACAUGUUCUGAAAGUCACAAUUGAUAUUUGAAAUUGACUGUAGAGCAUUUAGCUGAAGAGUUAAAUAUUUGAUUCCAUUAGGUUUUCACAUGUGUUAAUCUCAUUUACAGCAUCAAAUUGCAGCAGUAACAUUUUCCUUUCUGUUAAGUUCUAAAUUUAGUUAUGACCUACAUAGCAAUGCCUUUGAAAAGGGAUAUUGUAUCCAUGGUAAAUUAAUUGUAUAUCUAAACAGAGAUAGCUCAGCUUUGCCUAUCAGGCUUGUAAUUGACAUCUAAUAGACUUCUGCACAUGUAAAAUUGAAUUCAAGUAAAAUCAUAUACACUUUCUAGUUCUUAAUAUUUGUCUUUCCAAAUAAUAGUUUAAAGCAAUAUUGUUAAAGUUUUCUUGCACUAUCACAAUUGCUUUUUAGUUAUUUUAAAGAAGCAUGUUCGUAGUAGAGACGAAAAUCUGUGUAACGGGAGGAUAGCGCCAAGUCUCUGGGCUUUUUUUUUUUUUUCAAAUGUGCUUCUAAUAGCCAUUGCCUUCCAUGUUGUUUACCUAAUCAGCACAUUUUGUCUGAAUACUUGAACAUUUUAUCAAUAACACAGAUAUAGAAACAGAAAGGAAAUUUAUAAAGAAUAAUCUUUUGGUUCAGUUUUAACAUCAUGACAAAUGCUUUUCUAGCAAUGAUUUUAACAUUUUGUAAGUUUGACAGUAUUUUGGUUUUGGGUUUUUAUUUGAUUUAGUUGUGUGCAUUUAAUUUGCAGAAGUUAAUAACUGCAGCUCACCUACUGCACCAAAGUUCUCGAUUUUAGGAGCCCAGCUUUAGUCAUUUGAACAUGCUUCUAAAUAAAACAAAAUUUAAAAAACCAAAACUAUACUUUUCAUCUAUAAUAAUAGCUCAAUAACUUUGUCAAGGAAAGGUCUAAUAUAUGCAGUGAUGGUUUAUGGAAGGGUGUGGCAAUUUUAAAUUUAUAUUGUGUGUGAUGUUCAAAUAAAGUGAUAUCUACAUUCAUGUGAUUUAUUGGUCAGCAUGACCAUUAAUUAUUGCAUAGAAAUUGAUUAAACUUUGAUUUCCUUUUUUUAAAUCGUGUUGCAUUUGAUUCCUGAUCAAAUUCCCUCAAAGUGAACCCUUGAUCUUAAGUUUUGAAUUUUAUCUAUCCUGAGAUUAUAAGGGUGGAGGCAAAACAUUGUUUCUUAUUUAUUAACUGCUUGAAAUGAAUACCUAAUUUAAGUUUGCACUUUAAUACCAAACUUAAAACCAAACACUCAAAGUUGGUUAAGUGAUUGUGGUUCAUCUUUAUUAGCUGUGUGAAAUCUAAAGGAAUCAAAUAAUUCAUGAUGAUUUAAAUUUCUGCAGAUGGAUUUUUUAUACAGUUUCUUUCCUAUGGGUAGUUUUUCUCACUCAUUUCCUCUCUUUCUUCCUCUGACUCCCUCCCUUUCUCCCUUCCUUCCUCCCUAUCUCUCUCCGUCACUAACCUCAGCAGCAAAUUUAACUUGAAUUCACUUAGGAUCACAGGAAUCAGGGGAAAGUGAUUUAAAGGUGGUUUCUCCAGCACAUUUUAAGAAAAGGGACCAAAAGUUAUUUUAGCUUCCUUAAUAGAUUGCAUGUCAAGUUGCUUAUUAGGAAAAUAAAUUAAUAUUAAAUGCAAUAUAUGUCUUGUCUUUACUAUGGCAUCUGUUUAGGAGUUGUUCAAAUCACUGCAGUAGGGCUCUGCAAAUAAAAUCAUGUAGCCUAUUAUCAUGGAUCUAAUGUACUGUAACUUUAUCAAUGAAAGCUAAAAAUAUCAAAUAACAAGUACAAACAUUGAACAAUGACCUAUAAAGAUUUGUAAAAGUAAAAUUUUUCCAAUAGAUUUCAUUCUUGUCAUUUUGUAAGACGACCCUGCAGUCCACCUGUUUGUAACUUUUUUAAUAAAAUAGACAUAUGUAUUACUGA